rnacentral:rRNA from 1 species
UAAAAUGAGAGUUUGAUCCUGGCUCAGGACGAACGCUGGCGGCGUGCCUAAUACAUGCAAGUCGAACGAAACUUUCUUACACCGAAUGCUUGCAUUCACCGUAAGAAGUUGAGUGGCGGACGGGUGAGUAACACGUGGGUAACCUGCCUAAAAGAAGGGGAUAACACUUGGAAACAGGUGCUAAUACCGUAUAUCUCUAAGGAUCGCAUGAUCCUUAGAUGAAAGAUGGUUCUGCUAUCGCUUUUAGAUGGACCCGCGGCGUAUUAACUAGUUGGUGGGGUAACGGCCUACCAAGGUGAUGAUACGUAGCCGAACUGAGAGGUUGAUCGGCCACAUUGGGACUGAGACACGGCCCAAACUCCUACGGGAGGCAGCAGUAGGGAAUCUUCCACAAUGGACGCAAGUCUGAUGGAGCAACGCCGCGUGAGUGAAGAAGGUCUUCGGAUCGUAAAACUCUGUUGUUAGAGAAGAACACGAGUGAGAGUAACUGUUCAUUCGAUGACGGUAUCUAACCAGCAAGUCACGGCUAACUACGUGCCAGCAGCCGCGGUAAUACGUAGGUGGCAAGCGUUGUCCGGAUUUAUUGGGCGUAAAGGGAACGCAGGCGGUCUUUUAAGUCUGAUGUGAAAGCCUUCGGCUUAACCGGAGUAGUGCAUUGGAAACUGGAAGACUUGAGUGCAGAAGAGGAGAGUGGAACUCCAUGUGUAGCGGUGAAAUGCGUAGAUAUAUGGAAGAACACCAGUGGCGAAAGCGGCUCUCUGGUCUGUAACUGACGCUGAGGUUCGAAAGCGUGGGUAGCAAACAGGAUUAGAUACCCUGGUAGUCCACGCCGUAAACGAUGAAUGCUAGGUGUUGGAGGGUUUCCGCCCUUCAGUGCCGCAGCUAACGCAAUAAGCAUUCCGCCUGGGGAGUACGACCGCAAGGUUGAAACUCAAAGGAAUUGACGGGGGCCCGCACAAGCGGUGGAGCAUGUGGUUUAAUUCGAAGCAACGCGAAGAACCUUACCAGGUCUUGACAUCCUUUGACCACCUAAGAGAUUAGGUUUUCCCUUCGGGGACAAAGUGACAGGUGGUGCAUGGCUGUCGUCAGCUCGUGUCGUGAGAUGUUGGGUUAAGUCCCGCAACGAGCGCAACCCUUGUUGUCAGUUGCCAGCAUUAAGUUGGGCACUCUGGUGAGACUGCCGGUGACAAACCGGAGGAAGGUGGGGAUGACGUCAAAUCAUCAUGCCCCUUAUGACCUGGGCUACACACGUGCUACAAUGGAUGGUA